rnacentral:rRNA from 1 species
GUGAGACAGGUGCUGCAUGGCUGUCGUCAGCUCGUGUUGUGAAAUGUUGGGUUAAGUCCCGCAACGAGCGCAACCCUUAUCCUUUGUUGCCAGCGAUUAGGUCGGGAACUCAAAGGAGACUGCCAGUGAUAAACUGGAGGAAGGUGGGGAUGACGUCAAGUCAUCAUGGCCCUUACGACCAGGGCUACACACGUGCUACAAUGGCGCAUACACAGAGAAGCGACCUCGC